rnacentral:rRNA from 1 species
UAUUGGACAAUGGGGGAAACCCUGAUCCAGCAAUGCCGCGUGAGUGAUGAAGGCCUUCGGGUUGUAAAGCUCUUUUGUCAGGGACGAUGAUGACGGUACCUGACGAAUAAGCUCCGGCUAACUUCGUGCCAGCAGCCGCGGUAAUACGAGGGGAGCUAGCGUUGUUCGGAAUUACUGGGCGUAAAGGGCGUGUAGGCGGUACCAUAAGUCAGAUGUGAAAGCCCUAGGCUUAACCUAGGAAUUGCAUUUGAAACUGUGGAACUAGAGAUCGAGAGAGGUAAGUGGAAUUACGAGUGUAGAGGUGAAAUUCGUAGAUAUUCGUAAGAACACCAGUGGCGAAGGCAGCCCCCUGGGAUAACACUGACGCUCAUGCACGAAA